UGGGGAAUAUUGCACAAUGGGCGCAAGCCUGAUGCAGCCAUGCCGCGUGUGUGAAGAAGGCCUUCGGGUUGUAAAGCACUUUUGUCCGGAAAGAAAUGGCUCUGGUUAAUACCUGGGGUCGGUGACGGUACCGGAAGAAUAAGGACCGGCUAACUACGUGCCAGCAGCCGCGGUAAUACGUAGGGUCCAAGCGUUAAUCGGAAUUACUGGGCGUAAAGCGUGCGCAGGCGGUUGUGCAAGACCGAUGUGAAAUCCCCGAGCUUAACUUGGGAAUUGCAUUGGUGACUGCACGGCUAGAGUGUGUCAGAGGGGGGUAGAAUUCCACGUGUAGCAGGUGAAAUGCGUAGAGAUGUGGAGGAAUACCGAUGGCGAAGGCAGCCCCCCUGGGAUAACACCUGACGCUCAUGCACGAAAGCGUGGGGAGCAAACAGGAUUAGAUACCCUGGUAGUCCACGCCCUAAACGAUGUCAACU
rnacentral:rRNA from 1 species